GAUGAACGCUGGCGGCGUGCUUAACACAUGCAAGUCGAACGGAAAGGCCUCUGCUUGCAGGGGUACUCGAGUGGCGAACGGGUGAGUAACACGUGGGUGAUCUGCCCUGCACUUCGGGAUAAGCCUGGGAAACUGGGUCUAAUACCGGAUAGGACAAUGGUUUGGAUGCUGUUGUGGAAAGUUUUUCGGUGUGGGAUGAGCUCGCGGCCUAUCAGCUUGUUGGUGGGGUAAUGGCCUACCAAGGCGUCGACGGGUAGCCGGCCUGAGAGGAUGUACGGCCACAUUGGGACUGAGAUACGGCCCAGACUCCUACGGGAGGCAGCAGUGGGGAAUAUUGCACAAUGGGCGCAAGCCUGAUGCAGCGACGCCGCGUGGGGGAUGACGGCCUUCGGGUUGUAAACUCCUUUCGCUAGGGACGAAGCGUUUUUGUGACGGUACCUGGAGAAGAAGCACCGGCUAACUACGUG
rnacentral:rRNA from 1 species